rnacentral:lncRNA from 1 species
UUUUGAAACAGACUUUCUUGAACCAGGUGACCUCAGUGCCUUAUUCCCAGCAAGUCCAAGAACUGGCCUUGCUUCUGAAUCAGCUGCAUUCAUUGACCUUACCCUUGAAGCCCCUGACAUUGAAACGAAAACUCCCGUCUGCUUCUGCCACUUAAGUUAAACUUCAGGCUUCGAAAUCCUCAAAAUUCCCUAUGUUUACCACCUCCCUACAGCACCCAAGUUUCAAAAUUGCUAAUUAUAAGAACCACUCAAGAUCUUACAAAUUCACACAUUGCUAAAAACCCUGCAAAAAUCCAACAAAUAACACCUCAUAAUGCUUCUGAAUCCUAUCCAAAUCACAAUAUCUCUCUUAUAACCCUUCAAUCCCAAGAAGCACAAAACUUGGAUUAGAUAAUCAUCUUUAACAAAUCCAACAAAAAAGCAAAAACUCUCAUGUCAAUAUUGACUCUCAAAUUGCAAAAAUUUCAAUAAAGGUUCAACCUUUUUCAUAAACCACUCAAAACCCACAAUUAUUUCCCCUCAAAAUUCAACCUUUAAGGCCCAUUCAAGUUAAACACUCAAAAAAACAUCCACAUUCUACAGAUGAAAUGUCAACUAUCUUCCCACAAAUGCAAAAUUCAGCAUAAAGAUCAAUCUUUAACUUAAACUACUAAAAACCCACAAUUUAUUUCCCCUCAAAAUUCAAUCUUCAAAACCCAUUUAAGCUAAAAGUUCCAAAAACAUCCACAUACUUGAAAUGACAUGCCAAGCUUGACUCUCACAAAAAUCUCAAUAAAGGUUCAACCUUUUUCAUAAAUCCACAAACUAUUUCCCUUCAAAAUUCAAUCUUUAAGACUCAUUUCAGUUAAAACUUCCAAAAACAACCACAUAUUUGAAAUAAAAGGUUAACUAAUUGACUCUUAAAUUGCAAAAAUCUCAAUAAAGGUUCAACCUUUUUCAUAAACCACUCAAAACCCACAAUUUAUUUCCCCUAAAAAUUCAAUCUUUAAGACCCCAUCACAAAGUUAAAUCUCUCAAAAACAGCAACAUAUCCAAGAAUUCAAAUGCAUAAAAAAAAUAUAUUAUCUGCCUUUGACUAAACAAAAUCUUCCAAUACACACAUUUUCAAUUAAAAAAAUAUUUACUGCAUAAAAAUAUGUAAAGACAGCUAAGCCAAGUAAAAGUAUUAUUGAAAUAAGAAUGAACCUUGAAAAAAAGUAGAUAAUCCAUUGAGCAUUUUCUUUAUUUCUUUUAGGAGGGAUGAACUGAGACUUUGUCUUUUCAGAACUUCAUUAUUCUGUGAAGGAACAAAAGCUGUUGUUCAGUGAUACUAAUGAUGCUUUUUUUUUUCUCUCUCUCUCUCUUUCUUUAUUUCUUUUGUUUUUCUUUAAAAAGAUUAUAUUUUAGGGGAAUGUAGAGAGAGAGAAAAAAGGAAAUGUAGGAAAUGUGAUGGGGUUUUUGAUCUGUAAAUAGAAAGGGAGUUGUUUUUGCUGUGAGUUAAGAUAGAGAGAGAGAAGUACAGUGUGUGUGUUGAUUUGGGGGGUGAUGAAGAUCUGAG